ACAAGGAUAAACCACAAAAGGAACGGAAGACAGACGCAAAAAGAAGCUCCAGGCCAGGCUGAGAAGCUGCUUGAGGGAUGAGUAAGCCCUUCCCACCUCACGUCUCAAUCUCCCCGUCAAAGGUGGGAAGGUAGGUUUUUCAAUAUGGAAGUUGCUUAUAGAGCUACAGAAAAAGGUUAAAGCCCAUGGGAUUCCAUUUUGUCAGCCCCACCCUUACCAAUACUUAUAUUACUCCCAGACCAUUGUCCUGUUCAGGGUCAGCAACAGAGUGUGAUUUUAGAAAGAAGGAGUAAGGAAAAGGGUUCAGUAGAGAAUUCAGAGAAUUAGGAGAGAAGGGGGCAGAGAAAGAGGACUAAACUGAAGUACAGACUAAAAAACGCUGUAUGAAAACCUAUUGCUUUGAAAACUAAUUUUUAAAGUAAUUUAAUUUAGAUUUAAUUGAAAAACAGAAAAUGAACAAAUUAUUGAAUAAACUAAUGGACGAUGGAUCGUGAGGAAAAUUAUAUUUAGGAGUAUAUACAUACUCACAUGAACAUGACCUACUACAAGGUCCAGAGAAAGGGAGAGAAAUGGUGUGCACAUGAAAACCCAGUACAGAAUUAAAGCCAAAAAUAAUGAACUAUAAAAUGAUAAGGACCUAUAUUUCGAAGGGAGGAAUACAAAGAAGAACUUUGAAAAACUUAAAGCAGGUCAUUAUGUGAUUUUAGCGUAGUAUUUCCUAAGAACCAGGUCAAGUUUAAGUGGUCUGACUAAACUCUUACAGUCAUCCAUUCACUUGGAAAACAACCGUUGCUCGCCAGCUGCCUUUCUGGCCCCAGGGACCAAAGUUAAAUUUCGCAUUUAUUUCCCCCAAAUUUCUGACUGGUCGCAUAAAGCUCUGAACUCUGACAGCCUAGCUCGGGCAACUAGCUACUGUCAUAAUUAUCAUCCUUGAUUACCAAAAUAGCCUGGCAUUUAGUAGGAGAAAGUGGAUUUUAAGGCUGAGUAGCAUCAAAAUGGUCCACCUGUGUAUCUGCUGGAAACAUUAAACAAGCAAUUAAGUUCUUCAUCUCCAGUCAUUCCACACGGCUUGUCCAGGGGCGCCCGUUAUCACCACAGGCAGUGUUGUUUUAAGAAACCUGAAUACAGUCAAGGUAAUGAAAAUCUAUACAGACUGACAGGCAAGCAAAGCAGACAGACAGACAGCAGUUUGAGUAUGUGGAUGCCUAUAUCCUGAGUCAAAACCCCUCUGAAUUUAAAUGUGAGCAGACUAUUUAAAUUUUAUGAUGUUUUAACUGCGGCCUCCAGGCUCUACCAAUCACCUGUCACCCUAAAAAUCUAUGUCAAGAUUAGCCUUCUCUCAUGUACUGGCUAGUUUUAUGUCAACUUAAAUACAAGCUAGAGUCAUUUGAGAGGAGGAAAGCCCUCAACUGAGAAAACGUUCCCACUAGAUUGCCCUGUGGGCGAAGCCUUCGGUGCAUUUUCUUCAUUGCUAGUCAUGAGGGGGAGCAGUCCCUCGUGGGCAGUGACACCCCUGGGCUGGGGAUCUUGUGUUCUAAGAGACAAUCAGAGCAGGCUGUGAAGAGCCAGCCGGUAAGCACUGUGCCUCCGUGGCUUCUGCUCUAGUUCCUGUCUCACAGUUCCUCCUUUCAGUAAUGAACUAUUACUGAAAUAGACCUUUUCCUCCCCAAACUCUUCAUGGCCAUAUAGUAUGGCCAUGUAUUUUAUCACAGCACUACAAACCCUGACUGAACACCACAACACAAGGCAGCAAUUCGAUCCUCAGGGAAGACGUGGCUCAUGGUCCCUUCUUCCCUUCCUUCUGGAGUGCCUAUGGUGCUUCAAAGAUGGCGCUAGGUAGUCACCGCCCUGAAGUGAACCAAUAAGACACAGUCUUUCCUUUCGCCGGCCAACUGAAGGGUGCUUUUGACCAGCCCCGUCUGUUUUACCAGCCUUCCUAAGCAGGAGCCCACCCUUGUCUGGAUUAUCGUCCAAUCAUCUCACCCCAUACCUCUCAAACCUUCAAGCCAGAGCCACAGUGCUACAAAUUAAGGGGAUUCCUGCCGUUUCUGCCUCUGCUAGCCUUUAACUUUUAAGGCCUGUAUUAGUUACUUUCCGUGGUGGAUACGACUUAGGGGAGAAAGGAUUUAUUUUGGUUCUCAGAUCCAGAAUUUAGUCUGUGGUUGGUGACCAGCAAGCCAGUUCCUCCCAUCUUAGAAGAUCGGGAAGCACAAAUACAACUGGACAUCAGGACGGGCUAGACCCUUCAAAAGCCUUCCUCUAAUGACAGAAUUCCAUCAGCCAUGCCUCAAGUCCCCACAUUUCCAACACCUCCUUAAAAAGUCCCUCCUGCUGGGAGCAUGUGUUCAAACUCACAGGCCUGCAGGGAAUGGGCCUUCCCCUUCUAAUCAUGCCACUCAUACACAGUGCUGCUCACCAACAUGAUACACUCUGAUGGGGGUUUGGAUUCUGACUGCGUCUUUCUAGCUUCCGGGGCUUCAGUGUCUUCCCUGAGUAAAUGACAAUAAGAACGCGUACAGACCAAGGAUGCCCGAAGAGUUAAAUGAAUGAGUAUCUAUGAAUGUCCCCCCAGUAGAAGCCUGGAGGUGGCUUUCUGCAGCAAUCCCAAGACUAGAACCCUCCUUCCAAAUCCUCAGAGCCUGACGACCUCUGCACACCCUACUUCACACCAGAGGUCCAGGCAGGCUUCUUUGCCACCUCCUCAUGCUCAUACCUGGGACAAUGUUUGACACAUAGUUGGUCAGAACGGGGAAUGUGGUGGCUGGCCUCCACACCACCUAAGUGGCAUUACUGGUAGAGUUUAAAUAUCCUGCUGAGUCUGCCGGUUCUUCAGGCACUCGGACUGCACCUCUGAACUUCGAUGAGUGUGUGAACUCGAGGAUGCUGCAGAACGAUCGUGUCUUCUCUCUGCACUGCAGUCCCUUUGGAGCAAAUGCGGAGCCCCCAAAACACGACGUUUAAAUGGUGUUCCCUUAACCUCACAUUCUCGUGCUCCUGGCUAGGAAGCAGUUGCUGAAGCCAAACCAGGAGGAAGGAUGUUUGCGAUGCAACCUUCCCAAGGUCAUUUUCAUACAAAAUGAAACAUAGAGUUAAAGGGUUAAUGAAGAGUCAGCUCCAUGUGCAAACAAUGACUCCACCACCUUGGAAGAAUGAAAACUGCAAGCCUGCACCUUCCAAGAAAUAAGCAAGGACGAAGGACUGUUUUUCCUAGGCCAUUUCCACUCUAAAACCUGCUCUUCUUCUCACGCAAAAGCAGCUAGAGGAAGCCCUCCAGGAAGCUUCGGAUGCCCCUCCAGAAUCACUCUGCUGGCCAACAGCCCCUUGCCUCUGCUAAAUUUGCUCUGCAAAAUCAAGGACCUCGCUCUGCUUGAUAAAAGUUUUUCUUCCAUUCUAACCAGUCUUAACCAACUUUACCUAGACUUAGAAGCAUACGAGCAGAAGCUACCAGAAGCCCCACCCACUGUUACGUAGGGCAGCAGCUGAGUGCUCAGGUACCCCACCUGACACCCAUGCCACCUAGAAUGGUCUUUCCCAGGUUGCAGAACCCUGGAGACUGUUCACAAGAAGACAAUCUGCCUUCUUGGAUACGUCUCUUGCUCCUCACCUGAUGAAUGGGCAUCACUAUGUCCCAAGAGGUUGGAAAGCAACCAAAGAGAACAUUCUCAAAUGCACAAUCUCUUCGUCCCCAGACAUGCUCACUCUGCGUGGGAACUGCGGUGGCCGGGAUUCACAGUAAGGACUCAAUAGACUAUGGAGGUCCCAGGUUCUAGGAGACAGGUGCUGCUUGCUGAGUGAGAUUCUCAAGACAUUUAGAUGCAACCGUUCUCUCUCUCUUUUUGUUUUUCAGGAAAAUUCCCUCAAACGGAGAGGCAAUACCUCCUUGCCCCAUUCUAGUAAAUUCUCUCUGUAGCACAUUACACUUCCCCAGACACAUUUAGAAAGUGCCAUUCAUUUAAUUGCUUGAAAAACCCAAACCAGAGUACCGGAGCUCGGACCUCUAUUUGUUGGCUGUCUACAGAUUUACAAUGUAGCACCAUGUGGAUCUUCAGAGCCAAAGUGUUAGAAAUCUGAGGUGCUCACUCGACCCCCAAAAAUACAAUGGGCAAAAAAAAAAGGCAGGAAAUGCUUCAGAGUCCCCAGAAGGCAUCAACCCCAAUUACAUUACUACACAUGUGUGCAACACUUAAGCUGCUCAUUAACAUUUGGGAAAUUCUUCUGGUAAAUGUCUUCAUAUCCAAUUUAGGCUUCUUUCCCCUUCGCCCUCCCACCCCGCUUCAUAGACAGGCUACAAUAAUGAGCUAUAUAAACGUAACUCCUUAAACGAAGAAUGUCAUCACUUCGGAAUACAAGAGAGCUGUGCUUGUGGCGUGUAUGUCUCCAAACCACACUUGCUGUCUGUUAGAGUUUGUAGCAACUUUUAAAUCUGUCAUCACGGCAUGAAUUUCAUACUAAACCCCUUCCCCAGUGCUUGAGCCAGGAAGUAAGAGGGGAACAGGCUGUGUCAUUUAUGGGCAGGCUGGUAUCGGGUCAAGUGUGACAUCAUGCUCUGCUGAGCCAUAAUGAGGUGAGAAGGCAAGCCUGCAACAACGUGGCACUUUGUUUUGGGGUAGGGGGGGUUAUAUUUCAGCUUAUGAUAAAACUGAGACCAGGGACACGGACUAUGGAUUCUAAACAGCCAAAGCAAAAGACGCACAAACGAGGUGGGGGAGGAAAGCUAUUUAAGAAUUUAGCAAAAAUUAUACAUAUAUAAAAUUAUACAUAUAUAAAAUUAUAUAUAUAUAUAUACACACUCACACACACACACACACACACACACACACACACACCUAGGACCCAGUUCAUAUAUAUAUGAAAGUAUAAAAAGCCAAAGGGUCAGAAUGGGCUGUAAGCAGGACAGUUCCCUGGCUUUUGUAUGUAUCACAUGUAUUCAACUAAAAUAUUAACCAGCUUGUCUCCUUGUUGUGGUUACUACUUAAGGAGACAGAGGAAACAACUCAAAAUGAGUGUGUGCAAAUGUGUCUACUUCUUUACAAAAAAACACAAGAACCUAUUUUCAAUAUUCUGGGAGUUCUUCUCUUGACCAAAUGUUUCCAUCCAAAGUAACAGAAAUGUAACCUAACAGAGCGAGCCUCCUCGGUCUCUUCUUGUGUAUCCAUGUAACUGCCUAUAGCAACAUUCGAAUUCAUGAAUAACCCACAAAGUACAACAGAAAUACAUAUGGCAAAGAAGAUGAGGCAGAAGUUCAAUACCCAUUUAAAAAAAAUAGAAAAAGCUGUAUUGUAUAUCCACAGAUGAGUGCUGCCCUCAGCCUUGGUCAGAAAAGCUCUCUUUGCUGUGGCAGUGCAGACACUCAUGACAGGUCAAAGCUCUGGAUAUAAGUAAUUACCAAGUGCUCAGCUUUGAAUGGGACAACUGUGUCAAGAAUAUCCCACCAGGCUCAGGGGUAAUUGUCGACAAGGGGGAAAGAAAGAAUUCGAGAGCCAGAUUGGAAGCAGUUCUAGGAAACACCAUCUUCUGGAUGUCACGUGACAAUUGUGCCUAUGACGUCACGGUAACUAUGGUUACUGGCAGAAGACUGGGUCUGUCAGCCCUGCAUCAUGGAUAGGGCAGGGUUCAUGAAGCCUCCUCCCCAUGAGAAGCUAUUGCCAGUCAAUGACUUCUGAAGGGAUGAGGGAAGUCAUUUUCUUCAGUGGUGUAGCCAACUGUUGAGUUACCUCUACUCCAGCAAAUAACCGUCUACCCAUGCUCAUGCAAGCAGCUCUAAGCAAACCCAGCAGGCCAGACCUAAGCAAAACGAGAGAGCUCCCGUGCCAGCCACAUGGCAGUUCCAGCUUUUCAAACUAUGUAAAGAAAAGGGAAGCAACAUCUUUUGAAGUACAUAUCCUUCCAGCUGAAAUAAAAAUAAAAUUCCGGUUAUAAAAAUAAAUAAUCGCUAUACUUUGAUGUAGUUAUUACACUUAAAGUGGGCCCUGUGUUCAGGAGGGAGUCUAUGACAAAUACCCAACAAUGUGACAAGCGGAGCAGACUCAGAACAGAGACCCACAGUAACCCAGAAGAGGCCAUUAAAUCCACUAAAUACUCUUCUCUCAACUGUCAAGAGAAGGCCUCCCUCAAAGCUGCUGCUCUUCCUGUCUGGAUAUUACAAAAGGCUCGAACCAUUCCUGUAGGUGCUAAGGCCUCACAUGUGGAAGACGCAAAGCCUCACACCACUAAGUCCCAUUGGUUCUCUGGAGGAGUUUACUAUUCAAAUUGUUUUAAAUAGUUCUACUUCAUUUAAGUGAGAAAUUCAUCCUAUGAGAAAACGUCUGCAUUAUAAAGCUAAAAAAUCUACAAUUGUUCUUUUGUUUUAAUUUUCUCAGCUGUAAUCAGAUACACACCAGAAGAACAGAACUGAAGCCUUAUCAAUUCUUCUGGCCUUUUCUGAAAUAUCGGUUUCUUCACACAAACACAAUAAUAGACCAAUAUUCAUUGGGCUCAUGCUUUUUUUUUUCUAAUUAUGAGCCUAUUAGAAGCCCUGCCUAUCUCCAUGGUAACCAUAUAGCUCUUCAUCAGCUGUAAAUUAACCCCUGAUUAGCUGCUUGUCGUCUCCUAAAGAUGCUAUUCGACCUGCCCAGAUGCUUAGCCACGGCUACAGAGUCUCAUACCAACGAAGGAGAAAAGAAACCACUUUGGGCCAAGUCUAUAGAUCAUAAAUGUGAUGAAUGGGUCCCAUCUCCAGAUAUGGAGCUUCUAGGUUUCCCAGCUUCAAGAGGCCCCUCACAGUCAUGGCCCCGUCCCUCCAACUACCAAGACUGUAGCACCAAGUCUUCCUCACGCUGCUGUGUGUCUGCUUCUCUGCGACAGAGGCUGGUUCCACUAUCAAGGACUCGUGAGACUAGGCUGGACCGCCUGCAAGUUCCAGGAUAAACAUUAUCAUUGUAAGGACUUGAUCACAUCUACAAAGUCUCCUUUUUCAGCUUGGUGGUCUCCUCGUUAUUGAUGUGAUUCUCAUCUCCCCCUCAAUACACACACAAUUUUAAUUGCUUUCAUCCGCCUCCCCCCAAAGAAAGCAGUAAAAAGAGAGGGAUUGCUGAAGACAGGAGCCCUUUGGGCAGUUAGAAAAACAAUAGAAAACAAAACCAUCUUUGGAUGUGACAGAGGUUGUCAAUCAAGAGAGCAAACAAGGGGAAGAAAGAAGAGGAAGAAAGUACACCAGACGCUGUCUGCUAUCACCCCUCUCGCUGAGCGGCUGGAGAGACAGCCUCAAACAUUUAAGAAGUGCAGGUUCUCAAGGAAAGAGAUGGUUGAGCUUGGAGGAGGUGGUGGAGGUAAGGAGGGGUGCCACCUGUCCUUGAAGAAGGGAACCCAUACACAACUCCAGGAUAGCAGCUUCCCAGACUGUGGAUGUCAUCAUCCUCUGAAAGGGAUGUGGAAAAAGAAGUCUUCAUGGAGCCAAGCUUUGGAGCUUUUUCUACUAUCACCAGGACCCAUCUGGAUAUUUCUUUAGAAUCUUCUCUCCAUCAGAGGCUAGUGCCCUCUGUACACAAACUUCAUUUUCCCAAGAACCAGACUGGACAAAGCUGGACUCCAAAAUUCCACAUCCUGCAAAUGCCAGAACCAUUUAAAACUGAAUUUUUCUGUAGAUCUGAAAUGCUUGAACUGAGUAUAAAGAUAAGUUUUCUCCUAAUAACAUGACAAGUGUAGAAAUUGUUAUGAAUGAUUCAAACUGUAUAGACACACAAUAUUAAAGACAUGCAAAGAUGGA